UACAGAGGGGGCCAGCGUUAUUCGGAAUUAUUGGGCGUAAAGAGCGUGUAGGCGGCCAGGUAGGUCCGUUGUGAAAACUCGAGGCUCAACCUCGAGACGUCGAUGGAAACCAUCUGGCUAGAGUCCGGAAGAGGAGAGUGGAAUUCCUGGUGUAGCGGUGAAAUGCGCAGAUAUCAGGAAGAACACCUAUGGCGAAGGCAGCUCUCUGGGACGGUACUGACGCUGAGACGCGAAAGCGUGGGGAGCGAACAGG
rnacentral:rRNA from 1 species